GUGCCAGCCGCUGCGGUAAUACGUAGGUGGCAAGCGUUGUCCGGAAUUAUUGGGCGUAAAGCGCGCGCAGGCGGCCUUUUAAGUCCAUCUUAAAAGCGUGGGGCUCAACCCCAUGAGGGGAUGGAAACUGGGAGGCUGGAGUAUCGGAGAGGAAAGCGGAAUUCCUAGUGUAGCGGUGAAAUGCGUAGAGAUUAGGAAGAACACCAGUGGCGAAGGCGGCUUUCUGGACGACAACUGACGCUGAGGCGCGAAAGCGUGGGAGCAAACAGGAUUAGAUACCCUGGUAGUCCACGCCGUAAACGAUGGAUACUAGGUGUAGGAGUAUCGACCCUUCUGUGCCGGAGCUAACACAAUAA
rnacentral:rRNA from 1 species